GGACUACCAGGGUUUCUAAUCCUGUUUGCUCCCCACGCUUUCGCACCUUAGCGUCAAUAUUGGCCCAGGUCGCCGCCUUCGCCACUGGUGUUCCUCCCGAUAUCUACGAAUUUCACCUCUACACCGGGAAUUCCGCGACCCUCGUCCAUAUUCAAGCCCGCCAGUUUCGAAUGCACUUCCAAGGUUGAGCCUUGGGCUUUCACAUCCGACUUAACAGGCCGCCUACGUGCGCUUUACGCCCAAUGAUUCCGAGCAACGUUUGCACCCUCCGUAUUACCGCGGCGGCUGGCAC
rnacentral:rRNA from 1 species